rnacentral:rRNA from 1 species
GAGUAAUGUCUGGGAAACUGCCUGAUAGAGGGGGAUAACUACUGGAAACGGUAGCUAAUACCGCAUAACGUCGCAAGACCAAAGAGGGGGACCUUCGGGCCUCUUGCCAUCGGAUGUGCCCAGAUGGGAUUAGCUAGUAGGUGGGGUAACGGCUCACCUAGGCGACGAUCCCUAGCUGGUCUGAGAGGAUGACCAGCCACACUGGAACUGAGACACGGUCCAGACUCCUACGGGAGGCAGCAGUGGGGAAUAUUGCACAAUGGGCGCAAGCCUGAUGCAGCCAUGCCGCGUGUAUGAAGAAGGCCUUCGGGUUGUAAAGUACUUUCAGCGGGGAGGAAGGGAGUAAAGUUAAUACCUUUGCUCAUUGACGUUACCCGCAGAAGAAGCACCGGCUAACUCCGUGCCAGCAGCCGCGGUAAUACGGAGGGUGCAAGCGUUAAUCGGAAUUACUGGGCGUAAAGCGCACGCAGGCGGUUUGUUAAGUCAGAUGUGAAAUCCCCGGGCUCAACCUGGGAACUGCAUCUGAUACUGGCAAGCUUGAGUCUCGUAGA